AACGCAUAUGGCACCCUUUGGUUCUCGCCAAGGGGUAUGCCUGUUUGAGAAUCAUUUCGGAUACACCAUCCUUGCAUUCCUGCUCAAUAGGGUGUACUCUCAAUGGGAUUACUCUCAAUAGGGUGUACUCUCAAUAGGGAUUACUCUCAAUGGGAUUACUCUCAAUAGGGUGUACUCUCAAUUGAUUCGGGAAUGCAAUCCACAUGGGCCUUCAUCAUUGAUCGCCUUGAAUUCAUGCAUGGGACUGCUCGUGAUAGAAAAGUGUCGCAUGAUGUUGUGCUCAAUGCACUCGUCGUGUGAUGUGCAAGGAUGGUCGUGGUGUGCAGUUGCAUGUCAUGUGCUCGUCCUUGUUGAUCGAUCAGUCCCCUUGGAAGCAUCCACUUCCAUCCCACCCUCUCUACAAUGAUCUCAAAUCAGGCAAGACUACCCGCUGAACUUAA
rnacentral:misc_RNA from 1 species